rnacentral:rRNA from 1 species
GAUUAAGUUAUUAAGGGCGCACGGUGGAUGCCUUGGCACUAGAAGCCGAUGAAGGACGUUACUAACGACGAUAUGCUUUGGGGAGCUGUAAGUAAGCUUUGAUCCAGAGAUUUCCGAAUGGGGAAACCCAGCAUGAGUUAUGUCAUGUUAUCGAUAUGUGAAUACAUAGCAUAUCAGAAGGCACACCCGGAGAACUGAAACAUCUUAGUACCCGGAGGAAGAGAAAGAAAAUUCGAUUCCCUUAGUAGCGGCGAGCGAAAUGGGAAGAGCCCAAACCAACAAGCUUGCUUGUUGGGGUUGUAGGACACUCUAUACGGAGUUACAAAGGACGACAUUAGACGAAUCAUCUGGAAAGAUGAAUCAAAGAAGGUAAUAAUCCUGUAGUCGAAAAUGUUGUCUCUCUUGAGUGGAUCCUGAGUACGACGGAGCACGUGAAAUUCCGUCGGAAUCUGGGAGGACCAUCUCCUAAGGCUAAAUACUCUCUAGUGACCGAUAGUGAACCAGUACCGUGAGGGAAAGGUGAAAAGCACCCCGGAAGGGGAGUGAAAUAGAACCUGAAACCGUGUGCUUACAAGUAGUCAGAGCCCGUUAAUGGGUGAUGGCGUGCCUUUUGUAGAAUGAACCGGCGAGUUACGAUUUGAUGCAAGGUUAAGCAGUAAAUGUGGAGCCGUAGCGAAAGCGAGUCUGAAUAGGGCGUUUAGUAUUUGGUCGUAGACCCGAAACCAGGUGAUCUACCCUUGGUCAGGUUGAAGUUCAGGUAACACUGAAUGGAGGACCGAACCGACUUACGUUGAAAAGUGAGCGGAUGAACUGAGGGUAGCGGAGAAAUUCCAAUCGAACCUGGAGAUAGCUGGUUCUCUCCGAAAUAGCUUUAGGGCUAGCCUCAAGUGAUGGUUAUUGGAGGUAGAGCACUGUUUGGACGAGGGGCCCCUCUCGGGUUACCGAAUUCAGACAAACUCCGAAUGCCAAUUAAUUUAACUUGGGAGUCAGAACAUGGGUGAUAAGGUCCGUGUUCGAAAGGGAAACAGCCCAGACCACCAGCUAAGGUCCCAAAAUAUAUGUUAAGUGGAAAAGGAUGUGGCGUUGCCCAGACAACUAGGAUGUUGGCUUAGAAGCAGCCAUCAUUUAAAGAGUGCGUAAUAGCUCACUAGUCGAGUGACACUGCGCCGAAAAUGUACCGGGGCUAAACAUAUUACCGAAGCUGUGGAUUGUCCUUUGGACAAUGGUAGGAGAGCGUUCUAAGGGCGUUGAAGCAUGAUCGUAAGGACAUGUGGAGCGCUUAGAAGUGAGAAUGCCGGUGUGAGUAGCGAAAGACGGGUGAGAAUCCCGUCCACCGAUUGACUAAGGUUUCCAGAGGAAGGCUCGUCCGCUCUGGGUUAGUCGGGUCCUAAGCUGAGGCCGACAGGCGUAGGCGAUGGAUAACAGGUUGAUAUUCCUGUACCACCUAUAAUCGUUUUAAUCGAUGGGGGGACGCAGUAGGAUAGGCGAAGCGUGCGAUUGGAUUGCACGUCUAAGCAGUAAGGCUGAGUAUUAGGCAAAUCCGGUACUCGUUAAGGCUGAGCUGUGAUGGGGAGAAGACAUUGUGUCUUCGAGUCGUUGAUUUCACACUGCCGAGAAAAGCCUCUAGAUAGAAAAUAGGUGCCCGUACCGCAAACCGACACAGGUAGUCAAGAUGAGAAUUCUAAGGUGAGCGAGCGAACUCUCGUUAAGGAACUCGGCAAAAUGACCCCGUAACUUCGGGAGAAGGGGUGCUCUUUAGGGUUAACGCCCAGAAGAGCCGCAGUGAAUAGGCCCAAGCGACUGUUUAUCAAAAACACAGGUCUCUGCUAAACCGUAAGGUGAUGUAUAGGGGCUGACGCCUGCCCGGUGCUGGAAGGUUAAGAGGAGUGGUUAGUCUUCUGCGAAGCUACGAAUCGAAGCCCCAGUAAACGGCGGCCGUAACUAUAACGGUCCUAAGGUAGCGAAAUUCCUUGUCGGGUAAGUUCCGACCCGCACGAAAGGCGUAACGAUUUGGGCACUGUCUCAACGAGAGACUCGGUGAAAUCAUAGUACCUGUGAAGAUGCAGGUUACCCGCGACAGGACGGAAAGACCCCGUGGAGCUUUACUGUAGCCUGAUAUUGAAAUUCGGCACAGCUUGUACAGGAUAGGUAGGAGCCUUUGAAACGUGAGCGCUAGCUUACGUGGAGGCGCUGGUGGGAUACUACCCUAGCUGUGUUGGCUUUCUAACCCGCACCACUUAUCGUGGUGGGAGACAGUGUCAGGCGGGCAGUUUGACUGGGGCGGUCGCCUCCUAAAAGGUAACGGAGGCGCUCAAAGGUUCCCUCAGAAUGGUUGGAAAUCAUUCAUAGAGUGUAAAGGCAUAAGGGAGCUUGACUGCGAGACCUACAAGUCGAGCAGGGUCGAAAGACGGACUUAGUGAUCCGGUGGUUCCGCAUGGAAGGGCCAUCGCUCAACGGAUAAAAGCUACCCCGGGGAUAACAGGCUUAUCUCCCCCAAGAGUUCACAUCGACGGGGAGGUUUGGCACCUCGAUGUCGGCUCAUCGCAUCCUGGGGCUGUAGUCGGUCCCAAGGGUUGGGCUGUUCGCCCAUUAAAGCGGUACGCGAGCUGGGUUCAGAACGUCGUGAGACAGUUCGGUCCCUAUCCGUCGUGGGCGUAGGAAAUUUGAGAGGAGCUGUCCUUAGUACGAGAGGACCGGGAUGGACAUACCUCUGGUGUACCAGUUGUCGUGCCAACGGCAUAGCUGGGUAGCUAUGUGUGGACGGGAUAAGUGCUGAAAGCAUCUAAGCAUGAAGCCCCCUCAAGAUGAGAUUUCCCAACUUCGGUUAUAAGAUCCCUCAAAGAUGAUGAGGUUAAUAGGUUCGAGGUGGAAGCAUGGUGACAUGUGGAGCUGAGAAUACUAAUCGAUCGAAGACUUAAUCAA